rnacentral:lncRNA from 1 species
UAUAGACGUAUUUACACUUGUAUGCAAAUUUGUCCGCCAUUACGUAAAAUCACACAGGUUCCCGUAAACUUUGACAUCAUAAUUUAAAUUAUUUGACGUCACAAUUUAAAAGUAAUUGUUGCUUGACGUCAAAAGGUGAUUCGGAGUAGAUCUAAGGUCAUUCGGAGGCAAGAUUCAGCUAAAUAUCAAAAGUGUAAAUACG